rnacentral:rRNA from 1 species
GAUGAAUGCUGGCGGCGUGCCUAACACAUGCAAGUCGAGCGGCAGCGAGGGGUGCUUGCACCCUGUCGGCGAGCGGCGAACGGCUGAGUAACGCGUAGGAAUUUGCCCCAAAGUGAGGAAUAACUGCCCGAAAGGGUAGCUAAUGCCGCAUAUGGUCUUCGGAUUAAAGGAUUUAUCCGCUUUGGGAGAAGCCUGCGUUGGAUUAGGUUGUUGGUAGGGUAAUGGCCUACCAAGCCGACGAUCCAUAGCUGGUCUGAGAGGAUGAUCAGCCAGACUGGAACUGAGACACGGUCCAGACUCCUACGGGAGGCAGCAGUGAGGAAUCUUCCACAAUGGGCGAAAGCCUGAUGGAGCAACGCCGCGUGAAGGAUGAAGGCCUUAGGGUUGUAAACUUCUUUUAUGAGUGAAGAAUAUGACGGUAACUGAUGAAUAAGCACCGGCUAACUACGUG